GCAAAGCGAACAGAUCAGGUCCCUGCACUCCAAAGCCCAGAAGCCUCGGCUCUUCCAGUAAACUGUUAGACUGAGCUGAACAGGGGGUCCAACUAUUCCUUGUGGGCUUAAGGGCUGGGGCGGGGCCAACAGCGGGCUUGACUGGGAGCUGAAUGUCUGGAACAGGGUUACCCUCAGUGGGAGGUGCAAGCCGCCGAACAGCUCAACAGAGACAACACGCGGAAGAUACCUAUCUAAGCCCAGACAGAAGCCCUUGAACAGCUGAAUUCGUGCUCAAUGAUUCUCAUGGUUCCGUGAUGGUGCUGAAUCCAGACGGGAAAGCAGAGUGCUGUGCAUGGGAGGCAGCUUUGGCAUUUCACAUACCAUGGACAGAGAAUACGUGGAGGGAGUCACGAGGGCGAGGUGGGUGACUGCCUGGUAUGAGACGUGUGACAGUGCCGAUCUGAGUCUUAGUAAAAAAACAACUUGGGACCAGGUG
rnacentral:lncRNA from 1 species